GCGCAAUGGGCGGAAGCCUAACGCAGCGACGCCGCGUGGGGGAUGACGGCCUUCGGGUUGUAAACCUCUUUCGACUCCGACGAAGCGAGAGUGACGGUAGGAGUAGAAGAAGCACCGGCCAACUACGUGCCAGCAGCCGCGGUAAUACGUAGGGUGCGAGCGUUGUCCGGAAUUAUUGGGCGUAAAGAGCUCGUAGGCGGUGUGUCACGUCGAUCGUGAAAACUUGGGGCUUAACCCUGAGCGUGCGGUCGAUACGGGCAUCACUUGAGUUCGGCAGGGGAGACUGGAAUUCCUGGUGUAGCGGUGAAAUGCGCAGAUAUCAGGAGGAACACCGGUGGCGAAGGCGGGUCUCUGGGCCGAUACUGACGCUGAGGAGCGAAAGCGUGGGGAGCGAACAGGAUUAGAUACCCUGGUAGUCCACGCCGUAAACGGUGGGCGCUAGGUGUGGGGGCCAUUCCACGGUCUCUGUGCCGCAGCUAACGCAUUAAGCGCCCCGCCUGGGGAGUACGGCCGCAAGGCU
rnacentral:rRNA from 1 species